GGAGAAAAACAACUCAAACAAAUCCAGGCUUCCCAAUUUUAGUCCAAUGGCUUCACUAGUAAUCUUUUCCCAUAAAACAACAAAUCCAUAAAGUCAGCUACCCCAAUUAGUCAGUCAGUUUUGCUAUUGUCUGCUUCAACACUCUAUUCGGAAGCUGAAAAAAAGGAAAAAAGAACAAAGCAAAUAGAAGUCCAAGGGAGAG
rnacentral:misc_RNA from 1 species